GGCGGGCCUAACACAUGCAAGUCGAGCGGCAGCACAGAGAAACUUGUUCUCGGGUGGCGAGCGGCGGACGGGCGAGUAAUGCCUGGGAAAUUGCCGUGAUGUGGGGGGAUAACCCUUGGAAACGAUGGCUAAUGCCGCAUGAUAGCUUCGGCUCAAAGAGGGGGACCUUCGGGCCUCUCGCGUCAGGAUAUGCCCAGGUGGGAUUAGCUAGUUGGUGAGGUAAUGGCUCACCAAGGCGACGAUCCCUAGCUGGUCUGAGAGGAUGAUCAGCCACACUGGAACUGAGACGCGGUCCGGCCUCCUGCGGGUGGCGGCCGUGGGGGUUUCUGCUCGGUGGGCGCGCGCCUGCUGCUGCCUUGCCGCGUGUGUGCCGGUGGCCUUCGGGUUGUGUGGCUCUUUCUGUCGUGUGGGCGGUGGUGUUGUUUUUUGCGGCUUCUUUUGGCGUUUGCGGCGGGUGUUGCCCCGGCUGUCUCCGUGCCCGCCGCCGCGGUUGUUCGGUGGGUGCGUGCGUUUGUCGGGUUUCCUGGGCGUGGUGCGCCUGCUGGUGGUUUGUUUUGUCUGGUGUGGGUGCCCGGGGCUCUCCCUCGGUUUUGCCUUUGGUUCUGGCGNGCUCGUGUGCUGUGGGGGGGGGUCGUCUUUCUGGUGUUGCGGUGUUUUGCGUCGUCCUCUGAAGGAGUCCCGGUGGCGAAGGCGGCCCCCUGGACAGAUACUGACACUCAGAUGCGAAAGCGUGGGGAGCAAACAGGGUUAGAUACCCUGGUAGGUCACGCCGUAAACGAUGUUCUACUUGGAGGUUGUGGCCUUGAGCCGUGGCUUUUGGAGCUAACGCGUUAAGUAGACCGCCUGGGGAGUACGGUCGCAAGAUUAAAACUCAAAUGAAUUGACGGGGGCCCGCACAAGCGGUGGAGCAUGUGGUUUAAUUCGAUGCAACGCGAAGAACCUUACCUACUCUUGACAUCUACAGAAUCCUGCGGAGACGCGGGAGUGCCUUCGGGAACUGUAAGACAGGUGCUGCAUGGCUGUCGUCAGCUCGUGUUGUGAAAUGUUGGGUUAAGUCCCGCAACGAGCGCAACCCUUAUCCUUGUUUGCCAGCGAGUAAUGUCGGGAACUCCAGGGAGACUGCCGGUGAUAAACCGGAGGAAGGUGGGGACGACGUCAAGUCAUCAUGGCCCUUACGAGUAGGGCUACACACGUGCUACAAUGGCGCAUACAGAGGGCAGCGAACUUGCGAGAGUAAGCGAAUCCCAAAAAGUGCGUCGUAGUCCGGAUUGGAGUCUGCAACUCGACUCCAUGAAGUCGGAAUCGCUAGUAAUCGUGAAUCAGAAUGUCACG
rnacentral:rRNA from 1 species